rnacentral:lncRNA from 1 species
GGAAGCCUCAGUCUCCAUUUUAAACAAAGUCCUCUUCUGACUUCGGUCUUAUUUCUUUUCAUCUGGUCUAACAUCCUUCAGGUCUCCAUCCUGCCGACAUGUACCAGCCCAAGAACUUCAUUCGGAACAUUUGACUUCUUGGUCUUCCCUUUGGCCGGGUCAGGAAUUGAGCAUCAAAUCAAGGAAGGACCAGUCAAGAUUGCUGAGAAGAGAAGUGGCAGCCCCAUUCUGUUAUCCACCUGCCAUCCUACCUGCUGGAUCCCACUGAGAUGAUCAUAAUUCAGAAGUAAGGUCUGCAACUCAGAAGAUGAGAAAAGACAGAGAUUUCAAGCCACUAGCAGUGAUAAGUGGCCCUGCGCAAAUAAAUUUGAAAGAAGGCUCUACA